rnacentral:tRNA from 1 species
GUUUUAAUAGUUUAAUUAAAAAUUCUGGUCUUGUAAACCAGCGAUGAAAUUUCUUUCUUAAGGCA